rnacentral:rRNA from 1 species
UACGGGGGGGGCAAGCGUUGUUCGGAAUUACUGGGCGUAAAGGGCUCGUAGGCGGCCAACUAAGUCGGACGUGAAAUCCCCAGGCUUAACUUGGGAACUGCGUCCGAUACUGGAUGGCUUGAAUCCGGGAGAGGGAUGCGGAAUUCCAGGUGUAGCGGUGAAAUGCGUAGAUAUCUGGAGGAACACCGGUGGCGAAGGCGGCAUCCUGGACCGGCAUUGACGCUGAGGCGCGAAAGCUAGGGGAGCAAACGGG